GAUGAACGCUGGCGGCGUGCCUAAUACAUGCAAGUCGAGCGAACGGACGAGAAGCUUGCUUCUCUGAUGUUAGCGGCGGACGGGUGAGUAACACGUGGAUAACCUACCUAUAAGACUGGGAUAACUUCGGGAAACCGGAGCUAAUACCGGAUAAUAUUUUGAACCGCAUGGUUCAAAAGUGAAAGACGGUCUUGCUGUCACUUAUAGAUGGAUCCGCGCUGCAUUAGAUAGUUGGUAAGGUAACGGCUUACCAAGGCAACGAUGCAUAGCCGACCUGAGAGGGGGGUAGGCCACACUGGAGCUGAGACACGGACCAGACGCCUACGGGAGGCAGCAGUAGGGAAUCUUCCGCAAUGGGCGAAAGCCUGACGGAGCAACGCCGCGUGAGUGAUGGAGGUCUUCGGAUCGUAAAGCUCUGUUAUUAGGGAAGAACAUAUGUGUAAGUAACUGUGCACAUCUUGACGGUACCUAAUCAGAAAGCCACGGCUAACUACGUG
rnacentral:rRNA from 1 species